GAGUUUGAUCAUGGCUCAGAUUGAACGCUGGCGGCAUGCCUUACACAUGCAAGUCGAACGGCAGCACGGGAGCUUGCUCCUGGUGGCGAGUGGCGAACGGGUGAGUAAUGCAUCGGAACGUAUCCUGGAGUGGGGGAUAACGUAGCGAAAGUUACGCUAAUACCGCAUAUUCUGUGAGCAGGAAAGCGGGGGACCUUCGGGCCUCGCGCUCUUGGAGCGGCCGAUGUCGGAUUAGCUAGUUGGUGAGGUAAAGGCUCACCAAGGCGACGAUCCGUAGCAGGUCUGAGAGGAUGAUCUGCCACACUGGAACUGAGACACGGUCCAGACUCCUACGGGAGGCAGCAGUGGGGAAUUUUGGACAAUGGGGGCAACCCUGAUCCAGCCAUGCCGCGUGUGUGAAGAAGGUCUUCGGAUUGUAAAGCACUUUAAGUUGGGAGGAAGGGCAGUAAGUUAAUACCUUGCUGUUUUGACGUUACCGACAGAAUAAGCACCGG
rnacentral:rRNA from 1 species